rnacentral:lncRNA from 1 species
AUGGUAGGAUCUGAUCCAAACAGGGCCAAAAGUCAAGAGACAGGAAACAGAUUCAGUUCUGUACUCAGAGGUAGCCUGUCCUGGCAGACUGGGAAGAAAACACCGCCCUGGGCAGGGGUCGGGUGGGGGCUGCCAGAGACUCUCUGGGACCCCAGCUGUGGGCCUCUCAGGUUGCCCCCUCGGGGCCGCCUGGAAGAAAGCUCAUCAGAAAUGCAGACGUUCAGUCUUCACCUCAGACCCCCGAAUCAGCGCCCACAUCUAACAAGAUGCCCGGGGCCUCUGGAGCUGGUUAGAUUUGCAGACAGGUGCUGGGGAGUUCUGUCUUCCUUGUCAUCCCCCACCUGCCCCCUGCUCCCCACCAUGGAGGUAAGGCCACAUCUCCCCCCACCCCCAGCCUCUCACUUUCCUUCUCUGGAAGUGGGGAAGACACAGAGUAGAGACACAUGGGGACAGACAGCUCGCAGGGCCCCGGGAGCUCUACAACAGCCUCUCCCACCCACGGUCCGCGUCCCACAGGUGAGUCCACCUGUCUGUGUCUCGGGUCCCACAUCUGCAGAGCCGGGGGACAACCUCACCUCCCAGUCUGGGCUUGCUCCUUACCUGCUCCCUCUUUCAUUGUCUCUUUCCAGUUCUUUCUCUACUUUCAAUCAGUUCAGCAAAUGCUCGCUGUCCAAGGCUGGGCAAGGUAAGUGUCCACCUCCCUGGUAUCUGCUGUCUGGUCUCUCUGGAAGUCUUCCCCAGCCCUCCUGGUGCUUACACACACCCCCAACCCCCCGGCACAGGCCCCCACGCCUCUCCUGGAGCCACAGCAAUCUGGGCCUCAGUCAACACCAAGAAUUAGACUCUUUGGCUCUGCUGGCCUCUAACCCCCCGCCCCUUGUCUGCUCUCUCUCCCAUUCUUCCCUAGCCAAGGCCCCUCCAGGAGCCCAUCCUGGCUGCUCGCCUUUUCCUACACAUGAGGGUAACUUCAGAACUCCCUGCUCCCCCCGCCCCAGGGAUACCCCCAACCUGGGGGCACCGUCCCCGACAGGCCAGACCCCAGAGGCACACUGUGCCUAA